rnacentral:rRNA from 1 species
CCUACGGGAGGCAGCAGUGGGGGAUAUUGCACAAUGGGGGAAACCCUGAUGCAGCGACGCCGCGUGGGUGAAGAAGCGCCUCGGCGCGUAAAGCCCUGUCAGCAGGGAAGAAAAUGACGGUACCUGAAGAAGAAGCCCCGGCUAACUACGUGCCAGCAGCCGCGGUAAUACGUAGGGGGCAAGCGUUAUCCGGAUUUACUGGGUGUAAAGGGGGCGCAGACGGUGAUGCAAGCCAGGAGUGAAAGCCCGGGGCCCAACCCCGGGACUGCUCUUGAAACUGCGUGGCUAGAGUGCAGGAGGGGCAGGCGGAAUUCCUGGUGGAGCGGUGAAAUGCGUAGAUAUCAGGAGGAACACCGGUGGCGAAGGCGGCCUGCUGGACUGCAACUGACGUUGAGGCCCGAAAGCGUGGGGAGCAAACAGGAUUAGAUACCCUAGUAGUC